rfam:Fomitopsis pinicola FP-58527 SS1 unplaced genomic scaffold FOMPIscaffold_8, whole genome shotgun sequence.
GGCCGUAUAGUGUAGUGGUUAUCACGGCGGAUUCUGAUUGAUGAUUGGUCCAUACUCACAUCGGAUCAAAUCGGAAAGUUCCGUCAACCGAGGUUCGAAACCUCGUACGGCCU